GAGCAUGCAUAUUGGGAGUGAUCCUGAGAAGCCGUUGCUUUUUACCUCGGCUCCACAAAAGCACGUUAGAAGAGGAUUUGCAGAUCGAAAACCCAAACCAAAUGAUACACCAAGAUCUAAGUGAGCCACUUUAUUCAUUCAGUACUGGAUAUUAAUGGCCUUUGAAUACCCUCACAUCCUUUGUGGAGAUCACCUGUUUGUGCAGACCCAAAUGCUCUGUGUUCAAGUGGGUGAUGUUAUCACACACGGGCAAUU